AGAGUGAAGAGUAGGGUAAAAAGAUGAAGAUGCCACUCGUUCUUCACUGCUCAGCUGCUGUUCUGCUGUUAGUGAUGCUUUAUUCGCCUGAAAAACAAGGUAGCGAAGCUCGUGCCGUGACUUGCUGUCUGGAAACAUCGAAAACCAUGUUACGUCUUGAUUUGCUGAAAGGAUACAAGGAACAGAAGACCUUCUUAUGUCCUGUGCAUGCUAUAAUAUUUACCACCAAGAAGAACAUCAACAUCUGCUCUGAUCCCACCGCACCAUGGACCAUCAGAGCCAAGAAGUUCUUGGACAAGAAGAAACAGCCUCCAGUGCAGCCCAAAGAUCUUCCACACCAUAAUCCCACCAGAGCUCUGAAACCUGAAGCACAGGCGCAGAGUAACAGCACGACCACCGUUAACGAAACAUCAGUGUUUGUGUGAUAUGAUUCGAUUUGACUUGAUAUGAACAUUGAUUUUGAACCAUUUUCUCUUUACAUAUUAUAUGACAAAAGGAUUUGUAAAUACGCACUUUAUUAAAGCAGAUAUUUGAGGUAAUAUUUUACUUUUAACUUUUAAUUCAAUUGUAUUUAAUAGACAUGCAGUUGAACAUUAGUUGAAUGUUGGUUGAGCAUCAAUGUUGAAGCCAGCAAAUGGACCUUUCAAGUAAAGUGUUGCCAAAUGUUUGUGUUAUUNNNNNNNGCCAGCAUUUUUGUUAAUUAUAUU
rnacentral:lncRNA from 1 species